rnacentral:rRNA from 1 species
UUGAACGCUGGCGGCAUGCCUUACACCUGCAAGUCGCACGGCAGCACGGGUGCUUGCACCUGGUGGCGAGUGGCGAACGGGUGAGUAAUACAUCGGAACAUGUCCUGUAGUGGGGGAUAGCCCGGCGAAAGCCGGAUUAAUACCGCAUACGAUCUACGGAUGAAAGCGGGGGACCUUCGGGCCUCGCGCUAUAGGGUUGGCCGAUGGCUGAUUAGCUAGUUGGUGGGGUAAAGGCCUACCAAGGCGACGAUCAGUAGCUGGUCUGAGAGGACGACCAGCCACACUGGGACUGAGACACGGCCCAGACUCCUACGGGAGGCAGCAGUGGGGAAUUUUGGACAAUGGGCGAAAGCCUGAUCCAGCAAUGCCGCGUGUGUGAAGAAGGCCUUCGGGUUGUAAAGCACUUUUGUCCGGAAAGAAAUCCUUGGCCCUAAUACGGUCGGGGGAUGACGGUACCGGAAGAAUAAGCACCGGCUAACUACGUG